GGAGCCGAUGGAAAGUGCAAAAGAAAAUAUACCGCCGAUGGUUUCUCCGGAAACACAGGUAAGGGUGAAAUGGCAGGGUAAGAGCCUACCGCAGUCUUGGUGACAAGACUGGCAGUGUAAACCCCACCAGUUGCAAGUCCAAAUAGAACCGCUAUCAGGUGACCCGCCUGGCGGUCGGGUAGGACGCUAGAGGCUGCCGGUAACGGCAAUCCUAGAUAAAUGGUCACGACUCACAUCUGUGAGAACAGAACCCGGCUUAUUUCCGACUCUGAUUU
rnacentral:RNase_P_RNA from 1 species